UCUGAGGGGAGCGGCGGGGGGAACAGCUGUGCGAAGCCCGCCGACCCGGCCCGACUUCGCCUGCGACUUCCCGGAACAAUAAGCCCCGGGCCCUAGCGCUGCUGGCCCAGUCGGGGCGGAAAGCUGCUGCGCCGCGACCCCUCCCUCAGGCUCGCUGUGGCGGCUGGGGCGCUGAGGUGUGACACGGCGCGCCUCAGGGUUGUUUGCGGGCGAACGGCCCGAGCCCGCCCAGACACUACGAGCCUUCCUGCCCCGCCGCCCUCGAAGACCUGCCCUCCCGGAGCGCCGGAGUCCUCAGCGGCGCCGAGGGCCCCUCCCCUGGGCUUGCGGGCUCUGAGCGGCCCAAGGCCAGGGGCGGCGGCCGAGAAUAGCAACCCCAGACAUCCAAGGAGCGGUGGCUGCGCGGGCGCAGGAGCGCCUAGAGGAGCUAUUCCACGUUGAAGGUCAGGAAGGGCGGCAGUGAGGAGAUACCCUUCGUCCAAGGCUAGGUAAUGAAAUAACUCUUGGACGAGACCACCAGCCCUGUUAGUUCCCCGUAAUGCACUGAAAAUGGAGUUUAUUUCCUUCUUGUGCUGAAUCUACUUGUGUCUAAUCCAUGGACUGUUUUCUCAACCCAUCCUCUGAUUUAACCUUGUUCGUGGGAGAGCCCAGAGGACACUCCUUUUAUCAAAGCAGUCAAGAAUGCACAGGAAGCUCUCCUGCUCUUAGACUGAAAACCUGGCUGCUCUGUGUCAAGACAGUAGAAGUUCUGGAGAUGAACAGUGCUGAUGGUUACACAACAUUGUGAAGCCUUUGCCCCCUGCUCAAGGAUUCUCCUCUUCUGACCCUCCUUCCUGGGAUCCUAGGUGUGGCCUGGGGCCCAGGCCUCGAUCUGCUGUCACACUGAUUGCCUGACCGCAGCACAGAGGGGUGACCGCCCUGCCUGAAGAGGCAGGAGGGGGCCAGGACGCCCCGCUACCCGACGCCAGUCCUGCACGGGACAGUUUGCUACCGCCAGCUUUGACCCGUGUCCUUUCACAAGGAAAAGGCCCUUCGGAAUCAUGUGCCCAGCUUCUGUGAUAACACCCAGCAUGAGCCAGUCAGGCUACAGGGAAGACUAAGAACAGAGUCAGUAUGGGCUCCACUAGGACCACCCUAAAGCCCGAAUCCAGAAGCUACAGCAUACUUCAAUCCACCAUGGUCACCGCCCUCUCCAUGCAGCCUGUGCCUCCAGGAUGUCACCCUCAUCCUCUCCAGCCACUACACAAAGCAUCACCAUUCCCCACUGACAGUGAACUGUCAGCUCUUCAAGACAGCUUUGUGUUUCUGUUGGUCCACUGACGUCCCAGGUGCUUCAAAAAGUGCCUGGCACAUAACACAAGGAGAAAGUGGCCAUCUACAGGUCAGGAAGGCAGUGUUCACCAGGA